CCUACGGGUGGCAGCAGUGAGGAAUAUUGGUCAAUGGACGAGAGUCUGAACCAGCCAAGUAGCGUGAAGGAUGACUGCCCUAUGGGUUGUAAACUUCUUUUAUAUGGGAAUAAAAUGUUCCACGUGUGGGAUUUUGUAUGUACCAUAUGAAUAAGGAUCGGCUAACUCCGUGCCAGCAGCCGCGGUAAUACGGAGGAUCCGAGCGUUAUCCGGAUUUAUUGGGUUUAAAGGGAGCGUAGGUGGAUUGUUAAGUCAGUUGUGAAAGUUUGCGGCUCAACCGUAAAAUUGCAGUUGAAACUGGCAGUCUUGAGUACAGUAGAGGUGGGCGGAAUUCGUGGUGUAGCGGUGAAAUGCUUAGAUAUCACGAAGAACUCCGAUUGCGAAGGCAGUUCACUGGACUGCAACUGACACUGAGGCUCGAAAGUGUGUGUAUCAAACAGGAUUAGAUACCCUAGUAGUC
rnacentral:rRNA from 1 species